AGGGUUUGAUCCUGGCUCAGAAUCAACGCUGGCGGCGUGCCUAACACAUGCAAGUCGAACGCGAAAGGGGAGCAAUCCCUGAGUAGAGUGGCAAACGGGUGAGUAACACGUGGGUGACCUGCCUCAGAGUGGGGGAUAACGUCCCGAAAGGGACGCUAAUACCGCAUAACAUCCUGCCUUUGGAAAGGCGGAGAUCAAAGCCGGGGAUCGCAAGACCUGGCGCUUGGAGAGGGGCCCGCGUCUGAUUAGCUAGUUGGUAGGGUAAUGGCCUACCAAGGCGACGAUCAGUAUCCGGCCUGAGAGGGCGGACGGACACACUGGGACUGAGACACGGCCCAGACUCCUACGGGAGGCAGCAGUGGGGAAUUGUUCGCAAUGGGCGCAAGCCUGACGACGCAACGCCGCGUGGAGGAUGAAGAUCUUCGGGUCGUAAACUCCUGUCGAGCGGGAAGAAUACUUACCUGGCUAACAUCCGGGUGGGCUGACGGUACCGCUAAAGGAAGCCCCGGCUAACUCCGUGCCAGCAGCCGCGGUAAUACGGGGGGGGCAAGCGUUGUUCGGAAUUACUGGGCGUAAAGGGCUCGUAGGCGGCCAACUAAGUCGGACGUGAAAUCCCCAGGCUCAACCUGGGAACUGCGUCUGAUACUGGAUGGCUUGAAUCCGGGAGAGGGAUGCAGAAUUCCAGGUGUAGCGGUGCAAUGCGUAGAUAUCUGGAGGAAUACCGGUGGCGAAAGCGGCAUCCUGGACCGGCAUUGACGCUGAGGAGCGAAAGCCAGGGGAGCAAACGGGAUUAGAUACCCCGGUAGUCCUGGCCCUAAAC
rnacentral:rRNA from 1 species